AACGAACGCUGGCGGCAGGCUUAACACAUGCAAGUCGAACGCCCCGCAAGGGGAGUGGCAGACGGGUGAGUAACGCGUGGGAAUCUACCGUGCCCUGCGGAAUAGCUCCGGGAAACUGGAAUUAAUACCGCAUACGCCCUACGGGGAAAGAUUUAUCGGGGUACGAUGAGCCCGCGUUGGAUUAGCUAGUUGGUGGGGUA
rnacentral:rRNA from 1 species